UCUAUAGUGUGUGGACGGAUUUACCCCUCAUUUUCUUCAGUGUUUUCUGAUUUUGGUGUGAUUUUAUAGUGGGGUGGCGAUUUUGCCCUUGGUUCAUCGCGGAAAGCCUUUCUACUGCUUCCUGUACAGAUAUCUCGGUCUCUCCAGCUCUCUCUCAAAAACCCGGAACCAAAAAUCUCUUCAGUUCUGUCUCAAUUCCAGCACCCACCGCCACCACUCAGACGCCCCCAAAAGAAACAGAUGCUAAAGGGAAUCAGGACAUCAAAACUUGAUUGGUAAUCUGCAAAUCCACGAGGAUUUUGGCAACAUGGGUCGGUCCAAAUCUGAUUAGGGUGGGCUCUCUGAUAAAAGGGAGCUGUUUUUCUGUACAUUUGAGAGAACCCAGAAGGUAGGAUUUGAUUAUUGUGGACUAGUUAAUAUGCGUUGCAGCUGCUUUGGUGCUUCGGUUGCUGAGAGGAAAAGGAAAUCUGGUUCUGGUUCUGGUCGAUUUGGCCAUGAUUUGGCCAUGAUCUUGAUGAGAAUGUGCUGGAAAAUAUCAAGGCUUUCUCCUACAAUGAAUUAAGAACCGCGACGGAUAAUUUUCAUCCGAGUAAUAAGAUAGGUCAAGGCGGUUUUGGAACUGCAUACAAGGCUAAGAAUUGUGGUAAAAGAGUUUAUUGUGGUUAGCUUAGAGGACAAUGUGAGAUUAGCAAUUUGAAGAGUCUACUUUCUCCUCAUAUGUUUGCUUUAACAUGUGUAAGUUGUAAUUAUUAUUUUUCUCUUCAUGGCGUACUUAAAUUUGUAGAUCAGCAUAUAUUUGUUUUUGACAUUUCUUAUUAAAUUUAUUUGAAAACUAACUGAAGAAAGUAUCCAAUUUUUAAGCAAUUAAAAAAACUCACCUCAAUAAUUACAGUUUUAUUCCAAUUUCUAAGCAAGGGGAAAAAACCUCUGAAGUUUCAAUGAAGAGAGUUAGAAGUUCUGAAUAGUAUAUUUGUGUAAAUAGGAUUGUAAAUAUGAAUGUACAUAUAUAAGUAAAUAGAGAUGUAAACAUUGUUGUUAGUAAAUAGUAAAGGACUAUAUGUUGGUUACUAUACAAGGAUUAUAUAUUAACAUAUUUAUUUCUUUAUUAAAUUAGGAUUUUCAAUUUGAUUGAGGAAGAUCUUAGUGACGGUGUACUAUGACACGAUCAUCAAUCUGCUUUGUGAAAUGAUAUAUAUAUAUAUAUGUAUGUAUGUAUGUUUGAAAUGAUUGCGAACUGAGGGCUAAUAGAGGACCAAUACCUUGUAUUUUUCUUUUUCUCAUUUCAUGGGGGGAUAUUAAAUCCCUAGUAUGUUACCUUUCUUUAUGAUUCCAUGAGUGGUUCUAGAAUCCUGCUUGACUUUCAAUAGGUUCCAUAAGUGGUUCUGGAACACUACUUCUGUUCAGUUGAAUGAGAGGUUUUGGAACCCUAUUUCAUGUAUCCUUGUCGUCUGGUUCCAUGAAAGGUUCUAGAAAACAGGGCUUGAUGAUGUUGCUCUAGCCCUAUGAUUUUAUUAUAUAUGAAAGAAAUGACAAUUGGAUGCCUGUGUGGAUCAAUCAAGAUUUAUGAGUGAGGAUUAUUUUAUAUAUAUAAAGAUUCCAAAAUGUUUUUUUUAAUCACUUGUUGUAUUAUUGUCGCUCACACGAGUUUCACAGCUUUUCGAGUUUUUGCAUUGUUCAAUGCGCCAUUUCCACGACGUGGGGUUGUUUUGCAGAGUAACAGGUAGCGGUUCUAGAAGAGGUUUUCAAGGGGUGUAGCUGGCAUGUGCAGUGCACUCGAGACUGCUACGUGUCGAUCCUUGGCGUAUCUCGAGAUCGGGGUGUGACAACUUUUGAUGGUAUCCGAACACUGGUUCUUGGACCUUUGCAUUUCAACGGAUGCUGAUACAUGCAUCAGUUGUGUCGAGACCUGAAAUUUGGACUUACUUGGGCUAGAGCGAGAAUUUUCUUUCAUCAUCUUCUUGUUUUCCUGUGUUUUCAUUUGGAAGUUGUGUGCCUUUGAAGCCGAGGCAACUAGAAUUUCAUUAGUUAGUUGAGCCUUGAAGUGAACCAGUUAGUUUCGAGAAUAAGUUGGUAGAAAAAUUGGAAGUGCGAAGGUCAUUUCUAUUUUCAGUUUUGAUUCUAGUGCAAGUAUUUUCAACUUUAUUUGAUUAUAUGAGUAUUAUAUAGAAGGAGAAUUGAGUUGAGUUUGGAGGCAUGAAAGAGGAAUCAUUGCAAUUCGAUCACCAUAGAAUAACAUCCUCUGUAUGCAGCCUGCUCUUGUUUUUUUUUUUUUUUUUUUUUUUUGGGUCAAACAAUAGAAUUGUUAAACUAGAUUUUAGAUUAGGAAGCUGAUGAGGUUCGAACCUACGCCAUGGUGUAAGGGCAACACUGUUCUCUACCACUGUAAUAGAGGACCACUUGCAUGUAGCCGUUCUUGCUUGAUAUCUUCUUAUAUUUUCAAUCUAUAGUUUGAGUAUUUUGAGUAUAGCAAGCUAUUGCACACAAAUUUUUUAUAAGGUGGACAGGAUGUGAUAUCCGGCCCUUUAUUUAUUUUGUUUAUUUUGCAGUUUUCUAAAAAUUUGGGAUAAACCGAUGUUUAGCCUAACGGAAAGGGAUCCCUCUUUGGAUCCCUUUUACCAAAUUCACCCAAUCGCCUAAUCCGGACUGUUGAAAUUUGAUCCAACAGUUAAAGUUAUUAUAACUUUUAAAGGGGCCUCCUGUUUGUAGCCGUUAGAUCAAAUUUCAAGGGUUCAGAUUGAUUGAUUGGGUGAAUUUGGUGGAAGGGAUCCGGUCCUAGCCCAACAUCGGAAACCUAGCAAUUCAAAAUAAAGGACUAUAUGUUGGUUACUAUACAAGGAUUAAUAGUGACAUUUAUUUCUUUACGAAAUUAAGAUUUUCAAUUUGAUUGAGGAAGAGCUUAGUGACGGUGACAUGACAUGGGUGCAGGCUUUGCUCGGAGCACAAGUUCCAUGAGUGGUUCUGGAACGCUACUCCUGUUCAAUUUGAUGGGUGGUUCUGGAACCAUAAAUCUUGUCGGAGUCCACGAGGGGUUCUGGAAUCCUACAGUGAUUCCUUGAGAGGUUCAGAAACUAUGUGCAUAGUUUUUAUCGGUUCCAUGAGAGGUUCUGGAACCCUACUCUGUGUAUCUUUGUUAUCCGGUUCCAUGAGAGGUCCUGGAAUGCCGAACUUAAAUGUUUUUAAAUCACAUAUGUUGUAUUAUUGUCACUCACACAAACUUUGUAGCUUAUCUGGAGUUUUUAUUUGCUCGGUGCACCAUUCUCACGGCGUAGAAUUAUUUUCUAGGGUACCAGUUAGCAGUUAUAAGAGAGGUUUUUAAGGGGUGCAGCUGGCGUGCGCAGUGCACUCGAGAGUAGGGUUGUUCCCUUUUGUUGUAAUUUUAUUUAUGCUAAUUAUCAUAUGUAUAUUAUGUAUGAGUCUCAGUUACCUCUAUGUAUUAUUGUACUGUUAGUUUUAGCUGCCACGUGUUGAUCUCGAGAUCGGGGCGUGACAUAUUCCCUUAGGCAAUGUUUUGAUAAUUGAUGUUUUUUCUUAAUUUAAGUGUUUACCACAAAGGCUGGCAGAGUAAAAAAUUAUGACUAGGAAUUUGCUUUCAUUUGGCAACUCAUUUAGUCUCUUUAAUUCCGGAUCUUAACUCUUGGCCAAACACAAAGUUCAUCAUUUUUUUUCCAAUUCAAAUCUCUUUGAGCUACUUUUGGGGUCAUCUUGAAGAAAUUUAUAAGUGGGAAGAAAAAUGUUGAAUUUUUUAUAUGAAGAAAUUAAUUUUGUUUAGAUCUCAUUCGUUAAAUCACAAGCUAACAUUAUCAUCGGAUAACUCUUACGAUUUUUUUGUAUAUCAUUGGAUAACUCUUAUGAUUUUUUGUUACUAUAACUAAGUUUUAGGUUUUUAGCACUUGUGCUAGAGAUGGUUUAAGUCAACACGGUUUAAGUCAUCACGUGAGAAACGUUUAUUAGAUGGACGAUUCUCUUUCUAAACACGCAACAAACAUCAGUUGGACAAACGACGCCACUGAGACUAAACCUCAGUUACAAGAAAGAAUCUCUCCUCACCAACAGGGCAGCAAGUACAAGCCCCAAGGACUUGUUUUGUUAGUCAUUUUAAAACACCAGCUUAUGUCAAACAAACAAACAAUUCAUAUUCUUCUUCCAUAUCUCCUCAGUGAUUGAUUCCCACCACAUUUUUAUACUAAAGAAAAAUAAGUACACCCAAAAUUAUAUUACAAAUUGGUAAAUUACUCCAAUAUACACUAAAGAGGUAAAUUACAGUUUCUCAUGUCAGCAAGUAACAUUUAUUUGGAAAGUUUCAAACCCCAUUCCGAAAAUCGACCAAAAAUGGCAUGUUAAAAGCCAAAAUGAUAAGGUAUUCAACAAUCAACAUUCACAUAAAAAUU